AUGAACGCUGGCGGCGUGCCUAAUACAUGCAAGUCGAGCGAACAGACGAGGAGCUUGCUCCUCUGACGUUAGCGGCGGACGGGUGAGUAACACGUGGAUAACCUACCUAUAAGACUGGGAUAACUUCGGGAAACCGGAGCUAAUACCGGAUAAUAUAUUGAACCGCAUGGUUCAAUAGUGAAAGACGGUUUUGCUGUCACUUAUAGAUGGAUCCGCGCCGCAUUAGCUAGUUGGUAAGGUAACGGCUUACCAAGACAACGAUGCGUAGCCGACCUGAGAGGGUGAUCGGCCACACUGGAACUGAGACACGGUCCAGACUCCUACGGGAGGCAGCAGUAGGGAAUCUUCCGCAAUGGGGGAAAGCCUGACGGAGCAACGCCGCGUGAGUGAUGAAGGUCUUCGGAUCGUAAAACUCUGUUAUUAGGGAAGAACAAAUGUGUAAGUAACUAUGCACGUCUUGACGGUACCUAAUCAGAAAGCCACGGCUAACUACGUG
rnacentral:rRNA from 1 species